rnacentral:rRNA from 1 species
CCCCACUGCUAUCGGGAUAGGACUAAGACAUGCUAGUCGUGCGCUACAAUUGGCGCGGCGCACAGCUCAGUAACACGUGGCUAAUCUGCCCUUGGGACAAGAACAACCCCGGGAAACUGGGGCUAAUUCUCGAUAGGUGACGAACUCUGGAAUGAGUCUUCGCUUAAAAGAGUAUGUUCGCCCAAGGAUGAGGCCGCGGCCGAUCAGGUUGUUGGUGAGGUAAUGGCUCACCAAGCCUUUUACCGGUGCGGGCCGUGAGAGCGGGAGCCCGGAGAUGGGCACUUAGACAAGGGCCCAGGCCCUACGGGGCGCAGCAGUCGCGAAAACUUUGCAAUAAGCGAAAGCUUGACAGGGCUAUCCCGAGUGCCAUCCGCUGAGGAAGGCUUUUACCCAGUCUAGAACGCUGGGGGAAUAAGGAGAGGGCAAGUCUGGUGUCAGCCGCCGCGGUAAUACCAGCUCUCCGAGUGGUGUGGAUGUUUAUUGGGCCUAAAGCAUCCGUAGCUGGCCAGGUUAGUCCCCUGUUAAAUCCACCGAAUUAAUCGUUGGAUUGCGGGGGAUACUGCUUGGCUAGGGGACGAGAGAGGCAGACGGUAUUUCCGGGGUAGGGGUGAAAUCCUAUAAUCCCGGGAAGACCACCAGUGGCGAAGGCUGUCUGCUAUAACGCGCCCGACGGUGAGGGAUGAAAGCUGGGGGAGCGAACCGGAUUAGAUACUCGGGUAGUCCCAGCUGUAAACGAUGCAGACUAGGUGUUUGGACGGCCACGUGCCGUUCUAGUGCCGCAGGGAAGCUGUUAAGUCUGCCGCCUGGGGAGUACGAUCGCAAGAUUGAAACUUAA